AUUAGCUCGAGUGGAAUUUUGGGGGAUGGAAGGUUCGUCGUCUGCUCUGCUUUCUGCUUGAUAAAUCUCGUAGAUAGCCGAGAGAUGUGGAUUUGAACUUUGAAGUACUUGAAACAUGCGAGUUAUUUUUUAAAUUUUACCUUUUUGAAAAAAUUUUGAGAAUUGCAAAAUGUAAAGUGUGACAGAUUCUGUAGCAGUUAGUGUGGCUAUCUCUGGCUGUCAAGAUCCACCUUAAGUUUCAGAAAAUUGGCGUUAACUUUUAAGAACAGGAGAAGAAACAAUGAACCACAGGACAUUGCGUUUGAAUUAAAAGGAAUUACUUUCAGGCUUCCAAAUUUGUUGAAUCUGAUUUCAAGUUUAAUUGACUUUGAACACAUUCACUCUAAAACAUUGGCUGAAUUCUACCUCAACAAAGAAGUAUGGGAAGUAGUUGCCCAGGAAAAAAUUGAACUCAAUUUCCUAUCAAUAAGUUUGACUCCCCUGAAAGUCAAAUCAAUGCUGCGAAGCAGAAGGGAUCACGUGGAGGUUUUUUCAACUCAACACAAUUCUGGGACCUCACAUGGAAGUCCUCUUUGCGCAGAAACAGAAUUAACUGAAAGUGGACAUCUAAUGAAA
rnacentral:lncRNA from 1 species